CCCCCCUCGCAGGGUGAUGCCGGAGACCCCCCGAGCUCUGCACUAGCAUCAUGGAGAGCAGAGCCGAGGGCGGCCUGGGAGGCUGCAGGGGUUCCAGCGCUGCGGGGUGGAAGUGCCUCGGUUACAAGCGGCGGGCACCCCCGGUCAAGCGCGCUCCUCAGGGGAGCCGGACAGCGGCCUCUAUUGAGUCUGGCGUGCGGUCCGGGCCUGGGUCUCCUCAGCGCCAUCUACUGGACGGAGCCCUCCGUCUGAUGGACAGCGCGAUCAGCCAAUUAGGGCGCCCUCCCGCGUUCGUAGCCCGUGGCAGCGAACGGUUGUGAGGCCGCCCCCCCCCCCAGAACGCGCCCCUCGGUGGGGUGGUUGAGCGGGCUGGGCUCGGCCCCCAGCUGCGUGCGGCGGGGCAGCGGAAGGCUGGCUGGGGAGUAACCGUGAAAACUUCCACGGGCACGUUUGAAGGCUCCAGCCUCUCGGAUACGCACACCCGCGGCAGGCCGCGCAUCGCUUCUUCUCCGGUGCAGGCUCUUCCCAGGCGCCCCGUCAACCCCCGCCCCCCGUUGAGUUUGUUUGCCCCCAGCCCUGUCUGUGAGGAACUGCUGCAGCGAUGAACGCCGACGGGUUUCACAAACACUCCUGAAGGCUUUCCAGUAUGCUUUGCCACUAGAAAAUUCAUGACAAUAUCAUCACAGUUUUGAGUUUCAUCUAUCAAAGCAUGAACAGCAUCAGGCUGCUUUUGAAAGAGUUCUAGGUAUCCACUGUGAAUGAAUGCUGCUCCUAUGAGAACCAUGGAGUACUGGUCCCCAUUUCCAAAUCCAGGUGUCUGCAAUUCAAAGCUGCCAUAACUGUAUAUACCUGAAGAAGUGGAAACAUGCUUUCUAGGAACAAAUCCCACUAUCUGAUCUGGAAAUUGCUGGAAGAUCUGGAGUCUGUUCCUCAUGCGAUUCACAGUCUGCACUUUGAAGACAACAGGUACAGGAUGGGGUCCCAGGGAAUUCCACAUUUCCUCUGGUAUCUUCUCCCCAACAUUGUUCCACACAACAACCAC